AACGAACGCUGGCGGCAUGCCUAACACAUGCAAGUCGAACGAGACCUUCGGGUCUAGUGGCGCACGGGUGCGUAACGCGUGGGAAUCUGCCCUUGGGUUCGGAAUAACAGUUGGAAACGACUGCUAAUACCGGAUGAUGACGUAAGUCCAAAGAUUUAUCGCCCAAGGAUGAGCCCGCGUAGGAUUAGCUAGUUGGUGAGGUAAAGGCUCACCAAGGCGACGAUCCUUAGCUGGUCUGAGAGGAUGAUCAGCCACACUGGGACUGAGACACGGCCCAGACUCCUACGGGAGGCAGCAGUGGGGAAUAUGGGACAAUGGGCGAAAGCCUGAUCCAGCAAUGCCGCGUGAGUGAUGAAGGCCUUAGGGUUGUAAAGCUCUUUUACCCGGGAUGAUAAUGACAGUACCGGGAGAAUAAGCGCCGGCUAACUCCGUG
rnacentral:rRNA from 1 species